rnacentral:rRNA from 1 species
AGCGAACGCUGGCGGCAGGCCUAACACAUGCAAGUCGAACGAACCGUUCGGGGUUAGUGGCGGACGGGUGAGUAACACGUGGGAACGUGCCCUUAGGUUCGGAAUAACUCAGGGAAACUUGUGCUAAUACCGAAUGUGCUCUUCGGGGGAAAGAUUUAUCGCCUUUAGAGCGGCCGGCGUUUGAUUAGCUAGUUGGUUGAGGUAAUGGCACACCAAGGCGACGAUCAGUAGCUGGGCUGAGAGGAUGAUCAGCCACAUUGGGACUGAGACACGGCCCAGACUCCUACGGAAGGGAGCAGUGGGGAAUCUUGCGCAAUGGGGGAAAGCCUGACGCAGCCAUGCCGCGUGAGUGAUGAAGGUCGUAGGAUUGUAAAUUUCUUUCACCGGGGACGAUAAUGACGGUACCCGGAGAAGAAGCCCCGGCUAACUUCGUG